UGGAGUCCGUCUGAAUCUGCCGUGACUUUCGGAGCUGCCCGAUUUGCAAGAGAUGGUGUCAGAAGCGGAGUCCAGAGUAGAGCUUCUAGGAACCUUCGGGAGUGCUGAGUGAACACGCAAGGUGCCUGCGGAACCCACUUGUGUCCAUUGACCUCUCCGAGUGGCCGGGGAUCGUGGGUUUUCCCUGGGGCUUGUGAUCACUGUCUCCUUGGUGACAUGCAAUCUGGGAGUGCUUUCUGGAGUCUGAUAAGAACAUACUGGCACAUUGCCUGUGACGUGUGGGACCCAGGCAUUUUCAGUGCUGAG
rnacentral:lncRNA from 1 species